AAAUUGAAGAGUUUGAUCAUGGCUCAGAUUGAACGCUGGCGGCAGGCCUAACACAUGCAAGUCGAACGGUAACAGGAAGCAGCUUGCUGCUUCGCUGACGAGUGGCGGACGGGUGAGUAAUGUCUGGGAAACUGCCUGAUGGAGGGGGAUAACUACUGGAAACGGUGGCUAAUACCGCAUAACGUCGCAAGACCAAAGAGGGGGACCUUCGGGCCUCUUGCCAUCAGAUGUGCCCAGAUGGGAUUAGCUAGUUGGUGAGGUAACGGCUCACCAAGGCGACGAUCCCUAGCUGGUCUGAGAGGAUGACCAGCCACACUGGAACUGAGACACGGUCCAGACUCCUACGG
rnacentral:rRNA from 1 species